UGUUGAUUGAGCGAUUGAUGUCCCUCUGCAGCAGCAACGUAUUUUAACUGCAGUUGCAGCGUUGCGCCACUAUAGAGGCGCUAUAUCAACAGCAGUGCACCGGAAAGACCUGAAGCAUCUACCGAAGAAGAAACGGAUCGAAUCAUGUUUUUUCAAGUUUUUUUCCCGCUAGUUGGUGCUAUCGGCGACCUGAUUUUCCCCGGCGGCUGGUACAAACAGGUAAAUACUGCUUGUCUUUUUUGCAUCCAAGCAUGACGUGUUUAUUAAAAAAAAAAGUUUCCUCCGUUUUUUUAGCGUUGCAGAUAUGACAGGCAAAAUCAGCCAGUACUUUAAAAAGCGACCUCGCGAGGAGGAAAGUCAAGAGUCCAGGUGAAACACAGCAGAGAAAAAACGUAACAGGCAGUUAAAAUGCUAUAAUUCAUGUUGGUGACAACGUGGACAUUUGUGUCAGGUCUGAAAGUACUUCACAAGGGACUGGUGAUCGCGAGGGUCAGAAUGCAGGACAGGAUGAGUCGGCGAGGCGAGGGUAAUUAAUUAAUUAGUUUCCAAUUAGGAGCAUAACAACGCAAAACCAACGUGUACGUGGUUUUUAUUCCUCUGUCUAGAUCUUCUCAAAAACACAGAGCCAGUGGCUUUGACAAGCAGUGGCUCAAUCAAUUUACCUGGCUCAGGCAUACUGAGGAAGGCAUGCACUGCUGUUUAUGCCAAAAGCACUGUGCCCCAACACAGCAGGCAAUUGCUGCCUCCUUAGUGAGACAGCCAUCAACCAACUACAGGCUGGACACAUUAAAAAGACAUGAGGUGACAGCCAUUCACAAAGCAGCAGAAGAGAAGGAGAAAUAUAUUAAAGAUGGUAGUACCUAAAAACACUCAACUAAUAAAGUUACAAAAACUAAAAUAACAUAGUUUAGAUAGUUUAAGCAAUAAUUGGUUGUCGUUUUUUUAGGGAGGACACUGCAACGUAUACAUAUAUAUAAUAUAUGAUUAAAACACUAUCACUCUUCAUGUCUGUAUCAGAAUAAAAACAAAAAUACUUAAUGCAUGAUGAAUUGUUUUGUUUAAGGUGAAGACACCUCUGCGGAACAGACUGAAGGAGAGGCACUUGGAUGUCUGUUGUAAGGUGGCCGUUGAUGGACCAGACCAGGAGGCCUUGGACUACAAGGAGUGCAUGAGGAGGUUCUACAGAAUGAAAGAGAGGAGGCUGAAAUGUUCUGUCUGGUUGUGAGAUGUGUGGAUGAAGUGUACUUUC